UGAGAGGCUGAAAUGUCUGCCUGUUUUUUGUUAUGUUUGUAAUCAGCAAUCAUACAAGAAAUAGGAGGAAAGUCCGAACACCUUAGAGCAGGAUACUUCUGAAAAGGAAGCUUUGGUGACAAAGAGCUAGCUCCACAGAAACAGACCGCCUUAUGUUUCGAUGUGAGGUAAGGGUGAAAAGGUAGUGUAAGAGACAACCAGUCAGAGUAGUGAUAUUCUGAGCUAGGAAAGCCUUAUCCGGUGCAAUGCCAAAUAGGAAAGUCAAUAUGCAAUGCAUAUCCUGAUUUGCUCGGUCGGGAGAUCUUUCGGGUAGGCAGCUAUAUCCGUUUCUGAAGUGUAGUUCAGAGAGCAACACUUUAUAGAAGCUCCAUUGAGCAUAGCAAUAUACGGAAUAGAUGAAUAGACAUUUUUUUGCUUUUUAGGCAAAAAACAGAAUUCGGCUUAUCAGCUUCUCAAUCU
rnacentral:RNase_P_RNA from 1 species